rnacentral:rRNA from 1 species
CCUACGGGAGGCAGCAGUGGGGAAUAUUGCACAAUGGGGGAAACCCUGAUGCAGCGACGCCGCGUGAGUGAUGAAGUAUUUCGGUAUGUAAAGCUCUGUCAGCAGGGAAGAAAAUGACGGUACCUGACUAAGAAGCCCCGGCUAACUACGUGCCAGCAGCCGCGGUAAUACGUAGGGGGCAAGCGUUAUCCGGAUUUACUGGGUGUAAAGGGAGCGUAGACGGCAGCACAAGUCUGGAGUGAAAUGCCGGGGCUUAACCCCGGAACUGCUUUGGAAACUGUGCAGCUAGAGUGCAGGAGAGGUAAGUGGAAUUCCUGGUGUAGCGGUGAAAUGCGUAGAUAUUAGGAGGAACACCAGUGGCGAAGGCGACUUACUGGACUGUAACUGACGUUGAGGCUCGAAAGCGUGGGGAGCAAACAGGAUUAGAUACCCGGGUAGUC